rnacentral:rRNA from 1 species
GCUCCUGAAUUCAGCGGCGGACGGGUGAGUAAUGCCUAGGAAUCUGCCUGGUAGUGGGGGACAACGUUUCGAAAGGAACGCUAAUACCGCAUACGUCCUACGGGAGAAAGCAGGGGACCUUCGGGCCUUGCGCUAUCAGAUGAGCCUAGGUCGGAUUAGCUAGUUGGUGAGGUAAUGGCUCACCAAGGCGACGAUCCGUAACUGGUCUGAGAGGAUGAUCAGUCACACUGGAACUGAGACACGGUCCAGACUCCUACGGGAGGCAGCAGUGGGGAAUAUUGGACAAUGGGCGAAAGCCUGAUCCAGCCAUGCCGCGUGUGUGAAGAAGGUCUUCGGAUUGUAAAGCACUUUAAGUUGGGAGGAAGGGCAUUAACCUAAUACGUUAGUGUUUUGACGUUACCGACAGAAUAAGCACCGGCUAACUCUGUGCCAGCAGCCGCGGUAAUACAGAGGGUGCAAGCGUUAAUCGGAAUUACUGGGCGUAAAGCGCGCGUAGGUGGUUUGUUAAGUUGGAUGUGAAAGCCCCGGGCUCAACCUGGGAACUGCAUUCAAAACUGACAAGCUAGAGUAUGGUAGAGGGUGGUGGAAUUUCCUGUGUAGCGGUGAAAUGCGUAGAUAUAGGAAGGAACACCAGUGGCGAAGGCGACCACCUGGACUGAUACUGACACUGA